CCGCAUGGUUCAAAAGUGAAAGACGGUCUUGCUGUCACUUAUAGAUGGAUCCGCGCUGCAUUAGCUAGUUGGUAAGGUAACGGCUUACCAAGGCAACGAUGCAUAGCCGACCUGAGAGGGUGAUCGGCCACACUGGAACUGAGACACGGUCCAGACUCCUACGGGAGGCAGCAGUAGGGAAUCUUCCGCAAUGGGCGAAAGCCUGACGGAGCAACGCCGCGUGAGUGAUGAAGGUCUUCGGAUCGUAAAACUCUGUUAUUAGGGAAGAACAUAUGUGUAAGUAACUGUGCACAUCUUGACGGUACCUAAUCAGAAAGCCACGGCUAACUACGUGCCAGCAGCCGCGGUAAUACGUAGGUGGCAAGCGUUAUCCGGAAUUAUUGGGCGUAAAGCGCGCGUAGGCGGUUUUUUAAGUCUGAUGUGAAAGCCCACGGCUCAACCGUGGAGGGUCAUUGGAAACUGGAAAACUUGAGUGCAGAAGAGGAAAGUGGAAUUCCAUGUGUAGCGGUGAAAUGCGCAGAGAUAUGGAGGAACACCAGUGGCGAAGGCGACUUUCUGGUCUGUAACUGACGCUGAUGUGCGAAAGCGUGGGGAUCAAACAGGAUUAGAUACCCUGGUAGUCCACGCCGUAAACGAUGAGUGCUAAGUGUUAGGG
rnacentral:rRNA from 1 species